rnacentral:rRNA from 1 species
GAUGAACGCUGGCGGCGUGCCUAAUACAUGCAAGUCGAGCGAACAGACGAGGAGCUUGCUCCUCUGACGUUAGCGGCGGACGGGUGAGUAACACGUGGAUAACCUACCUAUAAGACUGGGAUAACUUCGGGAAACCGGAGCUAAUACCGGAUAAUAUAUUGAACCGCAUGGUUCAAUAGUGAAAGACGGUUUUGCUGUCACUUAUAGAUGGAUCCGCGCCGCAUUAGCUAGUUGGUAAGGUAACGGCUUACCAAGGCAACGAUGCGUAGCCGACCUGAGCGGGUCAUCGGCCACACUGGAACUGAGACACGGUCCAGACUCCGACGGGAGGCAGCAGUAGGGAAUCUUCCGCAAUGGGCGAAAGCCUGACGGAGCAACGCCGCGUGAGUGAUGAAGGUCUUCGGAUCGUAAAGCUCUGUUAUUAGGGAAGAACAAAUGUGUAAGUAACUAUGCACGUCUUGACGGUACCUAAUCAGAAAGCCACGGCUAACUACGUG